rnacentral:rRNA from 1 species
UUAAGCGACUAAGCGUACACGGUGGAUGCCCUGGCAGUCAGAGGCGAUGAAGGACGUGCUAAUCUGCGAAAAGCGCCGGCGAGGUGAUAUGAACCCUUGACCCGGCGAUGUCCGAAUGGGGAAACCCAGUGCAAUCCGUUGCACUAUCGUUAACUGAAUACAUAGGUUAACGAGGCGAACCGGGGGAACUGAAACAUCUAAGUACCCCGAGGAAAAGAAAUCAACCGAGAUUCCCCCAGUAGCGGCGAGCGAACGGGGAGCAGCCCGGAGUCUGAAUCAGCUUGUGUGUUAGUGGAACGGUCUGGAAAGUCCGACGGUACAGGGUGAUAGUCCCGUACACGAAAGCACACUUGCUGUGAACUCGAAGAGUAGGGCGGGACACGUGGUAUCCUGUCUGAAUAUGGGGGGACCAUCCUCCAAGGCUAAAUACUCCUGACUGACCGAUAGUGAACCAGUACCGUGAGGGAAAGGCGAAAAGAACCCCGGCGAGGGGAGUGAAAAAGAACCUGAAACCGUGUACGUACAAGCAGUGGGAGCCUCUUUAUGGGGUGACUGCGUACCUUUUGUAUAAUGGGUCAGCGACUUAUAUUCUGUAGCAAGGUUAACCGUAUAGGGGAGCCGAAGGGAAACCGAGUCUUAACUGGGCGUUAAGUUGCAGGGUAUAGACCCGAAACCCGGUGAUCUAGCCAUGGGCAGGUUGAAGGUUGGGUAACACUAACUGGAGGACCGAACCGACUAAUGUUGAAAAAUUAGCGGAUGACCUGUGGCUGGGGGUGAAAGGCCAAUCAAACCGGGAGAUAGCUGGUUCUCCCCGAAAGCUAUUUAGGUAGCGCCUCGUGAACUCAUCUUCGGGGGUAGAGCACUGUUUCGGCUAGGGGGCCAUCCCGGCUUACCAACCCGAUGCAAACUACGAAUACCGAAGAAUGUUAUCACGGGAGACACACGGCGGGUGCUAACGUCCGUCGUGAAGAGGGAAACAACCCAGACCGCCAGCUAAGGUCCCAAAGUCAUGGUUAAGUGGGAAACGAUGUGGGAAGGCACAGACAGCCAGGAUGUUGGCUUAGAAGCAGCCAUCAUUUAAAGAAAGCGUAAUAGCUCACUGGUCGAGUCGGCCUGCGCGGAAGAUGUAACGGGGCUAAACCAUGCACCGAAGCUGCGGCAGCGACGCUUAUGCGUUGUUGGGUAGGGGAGCGUUCUGUAAGCCGUUGAAGGUGUGCUGUGAGGCAUGCUGGAGGUAUCAGAAGUGCGAAUGCUGACAUAAGUAACGAUAAAGCGGGUGAAAAGCCCGCUCGCCGGAAGACCAAGGGUUCCUGUCCAACGUUAAUCGGGGCAGGGUGAGUCGACCCCUAAGGCGAGGCCGAAAGGCGUAGUCGAUGGGAAACAGGUUAAUAUUCCUGUACUUGGUGUUACUGCGAAGGGGGGACGGAGAAGGCUAUGUCAGCCGGGCGACGGUUGUCCCGGUUUAAGCAUGUAGGCGGAGGUUCCAGGUAAAUCCGGUACCUUAUUAACGCUGAGGUGUGAUGACGAGGCACUACGGUGCUGAAGUGAUAAAUGCCCUGCUUCCAGGAAAAGCCUCUAAGCAUCAGGUAACACGAAAUCGUACCCCAAACCGACACAGGUGGUCAGGUAGAGAAUACCAAGGCGCUUGAGAGAACUCGGGUGAAGGAACUAGGCAAAAUGGUGCCGUAACUUCGGGAGAAGGCACGCUGAUGUGUAGGUGAAGUCCCUGCGGACGGAGCUGAAAUCAGUCGAAGAUACCAGCUGGCUGCAACUGUUUAUUAAAAACACAGCACUGUGCAAACACGAAAGUGGACGUAUACGGUGUGACGCCUGCCCGGUGCCGGAAGGUUAAUUGAUGGGGUUAGCGGCAACGCGAAGCUCUUGAUCGAAGCCCCGGUAAACGGCGGCCGUAACUAUAACGGUCCUAAGGUAGCGAAAUUCCUUGUCGGGUAAGUUCCGACCUGCACGAAUGGCGUAAUGAUGGCCAGGCUGUCUCCACCCGAGACUCAGUGAAAUUGAACUCGCUGUGAAGAUGCAGUGUACCCGCGGCAAGACGGAAAGACCCCGUGAACCUUUACUAUAGCUUGACACUGAACACUGGUCCUUGAUGUGUAGGAUAGGUGGGAGGCUUUGAAGCGUGGACGCCAGUCUGCGUGGAGCCAACCUUGAAAUACCACCCUUUAAUGGCUGGUGUUCUAACGUGGACCCGUAAUCCGGGUUGCGGACAGUGUCUGGUGGGUAGUUUGACUGGGGCGGUCUCCUCCCAAAGAGUAACGGAGGAGCACGAAGGUUGGCUAAUCCUGGUCGGACAUCAGGAGGUUAGUGCAAUGGCAUAAGCCAGCUUGACUGCGAGCGUGACGGCGCGAGCAGGUGCGAAAGCAGGUCAUAGUGAUCCGGUGGUUCUGAAUGGAAGGGCCAUCGCUCAACGGAUAAAAGGUACUCCGGGGAUAACAGGCUGAUACCGCCCAAGAGUUCAUAUCGACGGCGGUGUUUGGCACCUCGAUGUCGGCUCAUCACAUCCUGGGGCUGAAGUAGGUCCCAAGGGUAUGGCUGUUCGCCAUUUAAAGUGGUACGCGAGCUGGGUUUAGAACGUCGUGAGACAGUUCGGUCCCUAUCUGCCGUGGGCGCUGGAGAAUUGAGGGGGGCUGCUCCUAGUACGAGAGGACCGGAGUGGACGCAUCACUGGUGUUCGGGUUGUCAUGCCAAUGGCACUGCCCGGUAGCUAAAUGCGGAAGAGAUAAGUGCUGAAAGCAUCUAAGCACGAAACUUGCCCCGAGAUGAGUUCUCCCUGAGACUUUAAGUCUCCUGAAGGAACGUUGAAGACGACGACGUUGAUAGGUCGGGUGUGUAAGCGCAGCGAUGCGUUGAGCUAACCGAUACUAAUGAACCGUGAGGCUUAACCUU